rnacentral:rRNA from 1 species
UACGGAGGGUGCGAGCGUUAAUCGGAAUUACUGGGCGUAAAGCGCACGCAGGCGGUUUUUUAAGUCAGAUGUGAAAUCCCCGGGCUCAACCUGGGAACUGCAUUUGAAACUGGCAAGCUUGAGUAUGGUAGAGGGGGGUAGAAUUCCAGGUGUAGCGGUGAAAUGCGUAGAGAUGUGGAGGAAUACCGGUGGCGAAGGCGGCCCCCUGGACGAAGACUGACGCUCAUGUGCGAAAGCGUGGGGAGCAAACAGG